AUUGAACGCUGGCGGCAGGCCUAACACAUGCAAGUCGAACGAGUGGCGGACGUGUGAGUAAUGUCUGGGAAACUGCCUGAUGGGGGGGGAUAAAUACUGGAAAAGGUAGCUAAUACCGCAUACCCUCAGAUGUGCCCAGAUGGGAUUAGCUAGUUGGGGGGGUAACGGCUCACAAAGGCGACGAUCCCUAGCUGGUCUGAGAGGCUGACCAGCCACACUGGAACUGAGACACGGUCCAGACGCCUACGGGAGGCAGCAGUGGGGAAUCUUGCACAAUGGGCGCAAGCCGGAUGCAGCCAUGCCGCGUGUAUGAAGAAGGCCGUCGGGUUGUAAAGUACUUUCAGCGGGGAGGCGUUACCCGCAGAAGAAGCACCGGCUAACUCCGUGCCAGCAGCCGCGGUAAUUC
rnacentral:rRNA from 1 species